rnacentral:rRNA from 1 species
UACGUAGGAGGCGAGCGUUGUCCGGAGUUACUGGGCGUAAAGGGUGCGCAGGCGGCGGUUCGCGUGGCGAGAUGAAAUCUCCUGGCUUACCUGGGAGGAUGGUCGCCAGACGGGAUCGCUUGAGGGUCGGAGAGGGGCGUGGAAUUCCGGGUGGAGCGGUGAAAUGCGUAGAGAUCCGGAGGAACACCGACGGCGUAGGCAGCGCCCUGGAC